AAAUUAAUAAAAUAAAAAUAAUAAAAAAAUUUUUAAUAUUGGGGGAUAUUAAAGUAUUUUUUUAAAGAAAAAAUAAAAAAUUUUAUAGUGUAUUAGUAUUGUAAAAGAAAUUUGAAAUAAGAAUGAAAAUUAAUUAAAAAAAAAGUAAAUUUAAUUUAUUGUAUCUUGUGUAUCAAAGUUUAUUAAAAAAUAUUUAAUUAAUAAUAAAAUCUCGAAUUUAAAAGAGUUAAUUAAUUAUAAAAGUUAAUGUUGAAUAAUUAUUUUUAAUAAUUAAUUGGAAAUGAAAUGUUAAUCGUUUUUAAAUAUAUCUAGUUUUUUUAGAAAAAAAUUUAAUUUUGAAUUUAAAAAAUUUUAAAUUUAAUUAAAUAAAUUUAAAAUUUUUAAAAUUAAAUAUUUUAAGGGAUAAGCUUUAAUUUAAAUAUUUAUAAUAAAAAUUUUAUUAAUAAAAUUUUUAAAAUUUAUAUUGUUUAAAAAUUAUAGUUUAUUAAAAAAAAUUUUAUAAAUAAUAAAAUUUAAAGUAAUAUUUAAUUUUAUAUAAAAAAAUAUUUUUUAAUAAAAUAAAAAUAGGAAUAAUGAUAAAAUUAGUAUAUUAAAAAUAAAAAAAUAUAAAUAUGAAUUUAAAUUGAUUUAAAGGAAUUCGGCAAAAAUUUAUAUUCACUUGUUUAUCAAAAACAUGUCUUUUAGAAAAUAAUUUAAAGUCUAAUCUGCCCACUGAUUAAAAAAAAUUGAAGGGCUGCAGUAUAUUGACUGUACAAAGGUAGCAUAAUCAUUAGUCUUUUAAUUGAAGACUUGUAUGAAAGAUUUGAUGAAAUAUAGACUGUCUCUAGAUUAUUAAUAAAAAUUAAUUUUUUAGUUAAAAAGCUAAAAUUUAUUUAAAAGACGAGAAGACCCUAUAGAGUUUUAUAAUAAUAUUAAUUAAAAUUAAGUAUAAAAUUAUAAAUUAAAAUUAUUUUUAUUAUUUUAUUGGGGUGAUAGAAAAAUUAAAUAAACUUUUUUUAAAAGAAAAUAAUAACAUAGAUAAGUGAGUUUUUGAUCCAUUUAUAAUGAUUAUAAGAAAAAAUUACCUUAGGGAUAACAGCGUAAUUUUUUUUUUUAGUACAAAUAAAAAAAAAAGGUUGCGACCCCAAUGUUGGAUUAAAAUAAAAAUUAAAUGCAAAAGUUUAAAAUUUUUGAUCUGUUCGAUCAUUAAAAUCUUACAUGAUCUGAGUUCAAACCGGUGUAAGCCAGGUUGGUUUCUAUCUUUAAGAAAUUAAAAUAUUUUAGUACGAAAGGAUCAAAUAUUUUAAAUAAUUUAAAAAUAAUGAAUAUUAUUAAAA
rnacentral:rRNA from 1 species